rnacentral:lncRNA from 1 species
AUCACCACAGUUGUAAAAUGUACUACUUUUCCACAUAAAUUUGGGGAAGGCCAUACAAAGAUUCCCCAACCAAGACCCAGUUGACAGCAACACAAACCACUUCCUUUGUCCAAAUUGAGCUACAUUAAUCACUUUUCAAUGCAUCAACCCAAAUGCUACAUGAGAACCAGUGCAUUCUGCAGUGGUCACAAAGAAAUACAACCAUAGAUUGAUAUAUAUAUAUACACAUACACACUAGAUAAACACAUAUGUACAUGUACUCCCUCCGUUACUUUAAGAAUUUAUCUAUUUAUCUAGAUUCAUCCAUGUAUCAAUGUAUAUAUAUGUCUAGAUUCAUUAACACAUAUAUAAAUCUAGGUAAGAUUAGAAAGACUUGUGAUACGGAGAAAAUACUAAUUAAGCUUAUUAUGUAGUGGCAUAAUUCAUGCAUGCAUAUACAUGUUCUUGUCUUGCAUGUCCCAAUCUCUGCCCACUCCUAAUCACUAACCUAAUUAAUCACCCCUACUAAUCAAAACCAAGGCUUAAUUACUUUUAAUUUAUUUAUGUAUACUAGCUGCAGCUUACGUGGGAGCAAUUAAGCUAUCACUAAUGACGAUUAAGCCACUCGUGGUGAUCGAUUAGUGGCGCGCAUGUGCCCGCCCAGGAAGCAUGCACGCUCGCUUCACCUACGACGAC